UGAGGAAUAUUGGUCAAUGGGCGGAAGCCUGAACCAGCCAAGUCGCGUGAGGGAAUAAGGCCCUACGGGUCGUAAACCUCUUUGCCGGGGAGCAAGGGCGGGGACGUGUCCCGGCCCGGNGAGUACCCGGAGAAAAAGCAUCGGCUAACUCCGUGCC
rnacentral:rRNA from 1 species